rnacentral:lncRNA from 1 species
CCAAAGGGAGUGACAGAUUUAGGGAAGGUAAUCAGACAGGAAGAACCAAAGGGAGUGACAGAUUUAGGGAAGGUAAUCAGACAGGAAGAACCAAAGGGAGUGACAGAUUUAGGGAAGGUAAUCAGACAGGAAGAACCAAAGGGAGUGACAGAUUUAGGGAAGGUAAUCAGACAGGAAGAACCAAAGGGAGUGACAGAUUUAGGGAAGGUAAUCAGGUAGGAAGAACCAAAGGGAGUGACAGAUUUAGGGAAGGUAAUCAGGUAGGAAGAACCAAAGGGAGUGACAGAUUUAUGGAAGGUAAUCAGGUAGGAAGAACCAAAGGGAGUGACAGAUUUAGGGAAGGUAAUCAGACAGGAAGAACCAAAGGGAGUGACAGAUUUAAGGAAGGUAAUCAGACAGGAAGAAACAAAGGGAGUGACAGAUU